rnacentral:rRNA from 1 species
UACAGAGGGUGCAAGCGUUAUUCGGAAUUAUUGGGCGUAAAGGGCGCGUAGGCGGCUUUGCAAGUGGCGGGUGAAAUCCCUCGGCUUAACCGAGGAACUGCCUGCCAGACUGUGAGGCUUGAGACCGGGAGAGGUGAGUGGAAUUCCCAGUGUAGCGGUGAAAUGCGUAGAUAUUGGGAGGAACACCAGUGGCGAAGGCGGCUCACUGGACCGGAACUGACGCUGAGGCGCGAAAGCGUGGGUAGCAAACAGG